rnacentral:tRNA from 1 species
CAAGUUAUACCCAUGAGGUUGGGGUUAUUGUUUACAUCAAUAGUGAAGUUGUGCAAUUCAACUUAACUUGA